rnacentral:sRNA from 1 species
UACUCCAGGAAUGACCGGGACCAAGUCAGCUUCCUGAUCAGGAAGGAAGUAGCAAAACUCCAGGCAGGAGGCAACACCCUGUCUGCUACCAUUAGCACCUUCCAGAGCCCACCUCCUCUGCCCAGCCGUACCCUGCUCUGCCCCAUCUGGGAUGCUGUGCUCAGGCAUUAGCUGGCAGGGCU